rnacentral:rRNA from 1 species
CAGUUUGUGUAGGCCAUACCCUGAAUGUGCCUGAUCUCAUCUGAUCUAGGAAGUUAAGCAGGGUUGGGCCUGGUUAGUACUUAGAUUGGAGUGGAGCAUUUUUAAAGAGACAAGGGAAACAAACUUU